ensembl:lncRNA
UUUCAAUAUUUUAGGGUUGAUUACUGUGUUCAUUCACUACUAAUUUUUUUUUUUUUCUCUAGGGAGAACUUCUGAUGAUGCAGAUUUCUUGGGAAAUGUGUUGAUUUCACCAUAUUCAGGAAGGAUCGAUUAUCAUUUCUUGUGCCUAAGGUCUACAUCCCUGAUAAGCUCUUCAUAGAAAAGAGACAGCUUCUUAUUUUUCAUAGUAAGUGAAAGCUUUUAAUGUCUACAGUAGAGAAGUUCACCAGCCUCUUCUCCUGGGAAUAAGCAGGAUGCCUUAUAAAGGAACAUAACAGAACAAAAAAGAUUCCUCAAACUCUGUUACAUACUAUUCCAAACAAUUAUUUUCCUGUACCUAGAAAAAGAAUUUCGUAAGUUCCAAAGUUUUG